rnacentral:rRNA from 1 species
GAUGAACGCUAGCGAUAGGCUUAACACAUGCAAGUCGAGGGGCAGCAUGGUCUUAGCUUGCUAAGACUGAUGGCGACCGGCGCACGGGUGCGUAACGCGUAUGCAACUUGCCUCACAGAGGGGGAUAACCCGUCGAAAGACGGACUAAUACCGCGUACACUCCAUCUUGGGCAUCCAAGGUUGAGGAAAUGAAAUUCGCUGUGAGAUAGGCAUGCGUCCCAUUAGCUAGUUGGUGAGGUAACGGCUCACCAAGGCGACGAUGGGUAGGGGAACUGAGAGGUUGAACCCCCACACUGGUACUGAGACACGGACCAGACUCCUACGGGAGGCAGCAGUGAGGAAUAUUGGUCAAUGGGCGAGAGCCUGAACCAGCCAAGUCGCGUGAAGGAUGACUGUCUUAUGGAUUGUAAACUUCUUUUAUACGGGAAUAACAAGAGUCACGUGUGACUCCCUGCAUGUACCGUAUGAAUAAGCAUCGGCUAACUCCGUG